rnacentral:rRNA from 1 species
GACGGAGGUGCAAGCGUUAUCCGGAAUGAUUGGGCGUAAAGCGUCCGCAGGUGGCAGUUCAAGUCUGCUGUCAAAGACCGGGGCUUAACUUCGGAAAGGCAGUGGAAACUGAACAGCUAGAGUAUGGUAGGGGCAGAGGGAAUUCCUGGUGUAGCGGUGAAAUGCGCAGAUAUCAGGAGGAACACCGGUGGCGAAGGCGGGUCUCUGGGCCGAUACUGACGCUGAGGCGCGAAAGCCAGGGGAGCGAACGGG